rnacentral:snRNA from 1 species
UUGGUCAUAGAUUGUGACAUAAG